rnacentral:lncRNA from 1 species
GCCAUGGGGCCGGGGAUCGAGAGAGAAGGGGGAGGGAGAGAUCGGGAUCUGGGGUGAAGCGGGGAAGGGGAAGUGGGGAGGGAGGGAUGGAAGGAGGCGUUUUAUGUCGAGGCGUUCGAGGAAGGGGAGGAAUGCGUUUCGGGCCGAGACCGGCUCGCUGCUGCUGGCCUGCUGCUACCGCGCUGGGUAGAUCGCGCGGGGAGGGACUGCCGGCUAGCGGCCGUGCUGGGUCGGUCGGACUGUCGGACUAG